ensembl:lncRNA
AGGCUGCUGAUGCUGCUGCAUUUGCUGCUGCUGCUGGGGCUUGUAGCUGGGAUGUUGCUGCUUCUGCUGGGGCUUGGCUAGGAUGCUGCUGCUGCUGCUGGGGCUUGUAGCUAGGAUGCUGCUGCUGCUUGUCGCUGGAUGCUGCUGCUGCUGGGGCUUGUAGCUAGGAUGCUGCUGCUGCUGCUGCUGCUGCUGCUGCUGCUGGGGCUUGUAGCUAGGAUGUUGCUGCUGCUGCUGCCGCUGCUGGGGCUUGUAGCUAGGAUGUUGCUGCUGCUGCUGCUGCUGGGGCUUGUAGCUAGGAUGCUGCUGCUGCUGCUGCUGCUGCUGGGGCUUGUAGCUAGGGCUGCUGCUGCUGCUGCUGGGCUUGUAGCUAGGAUGUUGCUGCUGCUGCUGCUGGGGCUUGUAGCUAGGAUGAUGUUGCUGCUGCUGCUGGGGCUUGUAGCUAGGAUGAUUCUGCUGCUGCUGGGGCUUGUAGCUAGGAUGUUGCUGCUGCUGGGGCUGAUCGCUAGGAUGUUGCUGCUGCUGGGGCUGCGGCUUGUCGCUAGGAUGCUGCUGCUGCUGGGGCUGCGGCUUGUAGCUAGGAGGUUGCUGAUGCUGCUGCUGCUGGGGCUUGUAGCUAGGAUGUUGCUGCUGCUGGGGCUUGUAGCUAGGAUGCUGCUGCUGCUGCUGCUGGGCUUGUAGCUAGGAUGCUGCUGCUGCUGCUGCUGCUGGGGCUUGUAGCUAGGAUGUUGCUGCUGCUGCUGCUGCUGCUGGGGCUUGUAGCUGG